AUAGAGGCUGUGGUGAGCUGUGCGCUGUGGAAGGCAUGAAGGCUGGGUGACGGGAAGCGGUGUGGCCCCUGUGGGCACGGAGGUCCAGAGCCUCUGGGCGCUGAGAAGGUCCUAGAAGCAAACAGACCCAGUAAUCAAUCCCAGCUGCCGUGCGAUGUCCUGUCUCUUUUGUCACGUGUGAUGCCAACAGCAGGGAAGAAGUUUUUCCACUGCAAAGGUGAUGAAUGUGUGAGAUUUUCAAACCCACGGGAGUUACCAGAAUGGAUUCCCUUCAGGUUCUGCCGGGGGUGGGGAGUCGGAGCAAGUGAGACAUAUUUCUACCGCUUCAAGCCUGCACGGUGCCUACAACAACGUUGCCGUUGUGGUGACGACUUAACCCUACUCGAGCGCUGAGAACCCUGGGAUCCGGGCAAGUUGGCAAAGCCGACGCAGGAGGACCGCCUGCUCCCUGCUUUAGGCUCCUGGUUUCCUGCACUUCGUCCUCCCUCAAUGGCAAGGGAUGGAGAGAGCUCGCAGGCUCCAGCCCAGCGGAACGAAUGGCUGGCCUUGGGAAAAGCCUCCCUUUCACAGACACUUGGAGCUAGCUUGCACUCACGGCCACAGGGUUCCAGCCAAAGGAAGCAGAAAACUUUGCGGGCUUUCUGUGUCACCUCUGGAUGGAACAGAAGAGCCUAAGACAUUGCUCUGCUGUUUGGACCUGGGGCAGCCAGUGGCCAGCACUAAGUCAGGGGCCAUGUGCUCAAGCCACCAAGAUGCCUGGGACCGCGGAGACAGAGGUCAGACUGGCAGAGGCUUCACCUGGAAACCUUUAGGUUUUGAUUUAAAAACCUCCAUUUAUGGGGCGCCUGCAGGCCAGGCACUGUGCUAGGGCUUUGCAUAUAUUAUAUCUAAUCUUUCCAGCUACCUUGCACAGUAGCUGUCACUACCCUCAUUUUAGAAGUGAGGAAGUAAAGGUGCUGGCUAUGAGCUUUUUCAUGGCUCUUGGCCCUGCCAAUAGAGCCUGGUCGGAAGCGUCCUAGUUUGGUGAAGAAUCCAAAAUGGAAGGGAUAUUUGAGGUCAUGUCUACCUUCUGAGGAUAAUGAUGAAAAGAGAUCCAAAGCCAGAAAUGUAAAUUAUUCUGCUCAAGGACACACAGCCGAGCUGUGUCUUCAAGUCUGUCCCUUCUUUCCCAUGUAACAGCAGGAGAACA